rnacentral:rRNA from 1 species
UGGGGAAUAUUGCACAAUGGGCGAAAGCCUGAUGCAGCGACGCCGCGUGAGGGAUGACGGCCUUCGGGUUGUAAACCUCUUUCAGCAGGGAAGAAGCGAAAGUGACGGUACCUGCAGAAGAAGCGCCGGCUAACUACGUGCCAGCAGCCGCGGUAAUACGUAGGGCGCAAGCGUUGUCCGGAAUUAUUGGGCGUAAAGAGCUCGUAGGCGGUUAGUCGCGUCUGCUGUGAAAACUCGAGGCUCAACCUCGGGCUUGCAGUGGGUACGGGCUGACUAGAGUGCGGUAGGGGGUGACUGGAAUUCCUGGUGUAGCGGUGGAAUGCGCAGAUAUCAGGAGGAACACCGAUGGCGAAGGCAGGUCACUGGGCCGCAACUGACGCUGAGGAGCGAAAAGCAUGGGGGAGCGAACAGGAUUAGAUA